GCUCCGGUAGUAUAGCCCGGCCAAGUAUGGCGGCCUCUCGAGCCGCAGACGCGGGUUCAAAUCCCGCCCGGAGCACCA
rnacentral:tRNA from 1 species